rnacentral:miRNA from 10 species
GAUCUCUAUUCGCUGGGUAAUA